rnacentral:rRNA from 1 species
UACGUAGGGGGCUAGCGUUGUCCGGAAUCAUUGGGCGUAAAGCGCGUGUAGGCGGCCCGGUAAGUCCGCUGUGAAAGUCGGGGGCUCAACCCUCGGAUGCCGGUGGAUACUGUCGGGCUCGAGUACGGAAGAGGCGAGUGGAAUUCCUGGUGUAGCGGUGAAAUGCGCAGAUAUCAGGAGGAACACCAAUUGCGAAGGCAGCUCGCUGGGACGUUACUGACGCUGAGGCGCGAAAGCGUGGGGAGCAAACAGG